ACUUAGGAUAAUUUAAACCAAGGACCUUCAAAGCCCUAAAUAGAGACCAAACCUCUAGUUUCUGCACAAGACUUG
rnacentral:tRNA from 1 species